GUGACAUUACACCGGUUGAAACAUUGUUUCCCGUACGAUCUCCAAAGUUAAGCAAAGGUGAGACCGGUCUAUACCAAGAUGGGUGACCGCUUGGAAAUACCAGGUACUGUAAG